rnacentral:RNase_P_RNA from 1 species
UUAGUAAACUGGAUGGCUACUCUCUUUUAUAAAGAGAGAGGAAAGUCCGAACACCUUCCAGUGAGACGGAACUCUACGAGCUCGCUGUCUCACUGGAUAAAAAAAUAGAGGGUAAUACCCUCCGCUUGUUUAUAAAGCAAGUAGAGGUGCGAACAGAGACGCCCGGGUGCGAAAGCACAGGGGUUCCUCCGCCCUUUCUUCGUUCUCUUAGGAGAGAAGAAAAAUGGAAAGGGGGAAUAGUUCAACCGGAAGGUUGAAUUGAAACGGCUAAAUCCUUAUUGGGUGCAAGAACAAACUUUAUCAAUCAAAUUGAUAAAGGAAAAGUGGUUCGCAAGAGUCUUGGGGCAACCCAAGACCUAGAUAAAUGGCCAUCUCUUCUGCCUCAAAAGCAGAAAAGACAGAAUUCGGCUUACAGGUUUACUAAGACA